rnacentral:rRNA from 2 species
AGACGUGGACCCGCACAAGCAGCGGAGCAUGUGGUUUAAUUCGAAGCAACGCGAAGAACCUUACCAGGGCUUGACAUGCCGCUGACCGGUGCAGAGAUGCAUCUUUAUCCUUCGGGGUACAGCGGACACAGGUGGUGCAUGGUUGUCGUCAGCUCGUGUCGUGAGAUGUUGGGUUAAGUCCCGCAACGAGCGCAACCCUUGUCUUUAGUUGCCAUCAUUAAGUUGGGCACUCUAAAGAGACUGCCGAUGACAAAUCGGAGGAAGGUGGGGAUGACGUCAAAUCAUCAUGCCCUUUAUGUCCUGGGCUACACACGUGCUACAAUGGUCGGUACAACGAGAAGCAAGUCAGCGAUGGCAAGCAAAUCUCUAAAAGCCGAUCCCAGUUCGGAUUGCAGGCUGCAACUCGCCUGCAUGAAGUCGGAGUUGCUAGUAAUCGCGGAUCAGAAUGCCGCGGUGAAUGCGUUCCCGGGUCUU